AGAGUUUGAUCAUGGCUCAGGAUGAACGCUGGCGGCGUGCUUAACACAUGCAAGUCGAGCGAGAAAUCGCAGAAGGAAGCUUCGGUAGAAUUCUGUGAUGGAAAGCGGCGGACGGGUGAGUAACGCGUGGGAAACCUGCCCUUGACAGGGGGACAGCCGAGGGAAACUUCGAUUAAUACCCCAUAACGCAGAGAGACCGCAUGGUCAUUCUGCCAAAGAAUUAUCGGUCAGGGAUGGUCCCGCGUCUGAUUAGCUGGUUGGUGAGGCAGCGGCUCACCAAGGCGACGAUCAGUAGCCGGCCUGAGAGGGUGAACGGCCACAUUGGAACUGAGACACGGUCCAGACUCCUACGGGAGGCAGCAGUGGGGAAUAUUGCACAAUGGGCGCAAGCCUGAUGCAGCAACGCCGCGUGAAGGAGGAAGGCCUUCGGGUCGUAAACUUCUGUCCAAAGGGAAGAAGAAUGACGGUACCUUUGGAGGAAGCCCCGGCUAACUACGUGCCAGCAGCCGCGGUAACACGUAGGGGGCGAGCGUUAUCCGGAAUUACUGGGCGUAAAGAGUGCGUAGGUGGCUUUGCAAGCGUAGGGUAUAAGGCGACAGCCCAACUGUCGUUGGCCCCGCGAACUGUAAGGCUUGAGUACAGGAGGGGAAGGCGGAAUUCCUAGUGUAGCGGUGAAAUGCGUAGAUAUUAGGAGGAACACCAGUGGCGAAGGCGGCCUUCUGGACUGUAACUGACACUGAGGCACGAAAGCGUGGGUAGCAAACAGGAUUAGAUACCCUGGUAGUCC
rnacentral:rRNA from 1 species